GAUAUAGAAUUUUAUAAAAAUUUUUAAAUAAAUAAUUGAAAGGAAUAUUUAAAAUUAUUUAAUUUAUUGGGAGGAUAGUUAAAUUAAUUAAACUUUAAUAAUAUUAUUAUAUAAAUAAAACAUACAUUGAUGAAUUUAUAAUUAUGGGUUGAAUAAUAUAGAAUUAAUUACCUUAGGGAUAACAGCGUAAAAUUUUUGGAGAGAUCAUAUUAAUAAAAAUGUUUGC
rnacentral:rRNA from 1 species